rnacentral:tRNA from 1 species
GCUCAGUUGGUUAAGUGUCUGACUCUUGAUUUCAGCUCAGGUCAUAAUUUCAAAGUUUGUAGGAUCGAGCCCUGCAUUGGGCU